AGAGUUUGAUCCUGGCUCAGGACGAACGCUGGCGGUGUGCUUCACACAUGCAAGUCGAGCGAAUGAAGUAGGUAGCUUGCUACUUAUGGAUUUAGCGGCGGACGGGUGAGUAAUAUAUAGGAAUCUGCCUUAGAGCGGGGAACAACAGACCGAAAGGUUUGCUAAUGCCCCAUAGGUAUGCAGUCUUCGGAUUGUAUAUUAAAGGAGUAAUCCACUCUAAGAUGAGCCUGUAUCCGAUUAGCUAGUUGGCGGGGUAAAGGCCCACCAAGGCUACGAUCGGUAGUUGGUCUGAGAGGAUGAUCAGCCACAAUGGGACUGAGACACGGCCCAUACUCCUACGGGAGGUAGCAGUGGGGAAUUUUACACAAUGGGGGAAACCCUGAUGUAGCGACACCGCGUGAACGAAGAAGCCUUUUGGGGUGUAAAGUUCUGUCGGCUGGAACGAAAAAAAUGACGGUACCAGCAAAGGAAGCAUCGGCUAACUACGUGCCAGCAGCCGCGGUAAGACGUAGGAUGCAAGCGUUGUCCGGAUUUAUUGGGCGUAAAGAGUUCGUAGGCGGUUAUUUAAGUCUGAUGUUAAAUACUGUGGCCCAACCACAGAACUGCAUUGGAUACUGGAUGACUUGAGUGCGGUAGAGGCAAGUGGAAUUCCCAGUGUAGCGGUGAAAUGCGUAGA
rnacentral:rRNA from 1 species